rnacentral:rRNA from 1 species
UACGGGGGGGGCAAGCGUUGUUCGGAAUUACUGGGCGUAAAGGGCUCGUAGGUGGCCAACUAAGUCAACCGUGAAAUCCCUCGGCUUAACCGGGGAACUGCGUUUGAUACUGGAUGGCUUGAGUUUGGGAGAGGGAUGCGGAAUUCCAGGUGUAGCGGUGAAAUGCGUAGAUAUCUGGAGGAACACCGGUGGCGAAGGCGGCAUCCUGGACCGGCAUUGACGCUGAGGAGCGAAAGCCAGGGGAGCAAACGGG